rnacentral:rRNA from 1 species
GACGAACGCUGGCGGCGUGCUUAACACAUGCAAGUCGAACGGAAAGGCCCUGCUUUUGUGGGGUGCUCGAGUGGCGAACGGGUGAGUAACACGUGAGUAACCUGCCCUUGACUUUGGGAUAACUUCAGGAAACUGGGGCUCAUACCGGAUAUGAGCUCCUGCUGCAUGGUGGGGGUUGGUAAGUUUCGGCGGUGGGGGAUGGACUCGCGGGUUAUCAGCUUGUUGGUGGGGUAGUGGCUUACCAAGGGUUUGACGGGUAGCCGGCCUGAGAGGGUGACCGGCGACAUUGGGACUGAGAUACGGACCAGACUGCUACGGGAGGCAGCAGGGGGGAAUAUUGCACAAUGGGCGGACGCCUGAUGCAGCAACGCCGCGUGCGGGAUGACGGCCUUCGGGUUGUAAACCGCUUUCGCCUGUGACGAAGCGUGAGUGACGGUAAUGGGUAAAGAAGCACCGGCUAACUACGUG